rnacentral:tRNA from 1 species
AGGGUGAUAGUUAAAUAUAACAUCUGAUCUGCAAUUAGAAAGUAUUGAUUAAUCAAUUUACCUU